AAAGUGGUAUGCAAUUGUAAAUUAUGUCAUAUGCCAUUCAAUUUAAUGAUUGCUCCAUAUGUAAAAAAAAGUUAUGUAACAUGAGUAUUUAAAUUGUAAUUUUUUAUUUUAGAUGCGAAUUUUUAUUAUAUAUGUAAUUUACCCUAAAAGAUAGUCCAUUUUUAUUAUAUUAUUAUUAAAAGCCAAACAGACAUUCACUUUAAAAAAAAAAAAAACUAGCCCAACAAGGCCAGCAAAACAUGAUCCCCAC
rnacentral:lncRNA from 1 species